UAUAAAGCCUCUCUCUCCUGCCAACAAAACCCAUUUUCUCUUCCUCUCCAAAACCCACGGCCAUAAAACCCACAACCCCCAUUGCUUGGAGGAAGCCAUUGCCGGAAAAAGCUUAUGGAAGCCAUGCCAAAGAAGCCCCAUGGAAGCUAUGGUCCGUAAAGCCAAAGCCACCUCCAAGAAAUUCCCGUAAAAUUGUUUCUCUCUAGGUUUUGGGUUUUGGUGCUUUUGGAAAAACCACACUUAAUUACUUCCCAAGAGUUUGAGUUGGCAAUCAAAAGAAGACAUGUGAAGAAGUGAAAGAAGAGUUUGAAGAAAAAAUGAUGGAAAUGCAAAGAAAAAUGCAAGCACAAAUGCAAGCACAAAUUCAAGAACAGAUGAUGCAAAUGAUGCAACAAUUUCAGCAAAAGCAGUAGAAAUUUGAAGAUUUUGCUACAUCUUUAUAUGAUAGAUUCUCUUAACUUUUUUGAAGAUUAUGCUAAUUUAUAUGAUAGAUUCUCCUAACUUUUUUUUGUUUUCUAUGACUAUUAUGUGAUGUUUUGGUUGGUUGAUUUGUUAUCUUAUGUUAGAAUGUGAAACUAAAUUUGAA